GAACGCUGGCGGCGUGCCUAAUACAUGCAAGUCGAACGGUCUUUCUAUGGAAGCUUGCUUCCACUGAGAAGAUAGUGGCGAACGGGUGAGUAACACGUGGGGUAACCUGCCCAUAAGAGGGGGGAGUAACAUCCGGAAACGGGUGCUAAUACCGCAUAGUUUUCUUGGUCGCAUGAUCGGGAAGGAAAGACGGCCUUUGUGCUGUCGCUUAUGGAUGGACCCGCGGCGUAUUAGUUAGUUGGUGAGGUAACGGCUCACCAAGACGAUGAUACGUAGCCGACCUGAGAGGGUGAUCGGCCACAUUGGGACUGAGACACGGCCCAAACUCCUACGGGAGGCAGCAGUAGGGAAUCUUCCGCAAUGGACGAAAGUCUGACGGAGCAACGCCGCGUGAGUGAAGAAGGUUUUCGGAAUCGUAAAACUCUGUUGUCAGAGAAGAACAAGUUGGAGAGUAACUGCUCCAGCCUUGACGGUAUCUGACCAGAAAGCCACGGCUAACUACGUGCCAGCAGCAGC
rnacentral:rRNA from 1 species